UACGUAGGGCGCAAGCGUUAUCCGGAAUUAUUGGGCGUAAAGAGCUCGUAGGCGGUUUGUCGCGUCGGCCGUGAAAACUUGGGGCUUAACCCCAAGCCUGCGGUCGAUACGGGCAGACUUGAGUUCGGCAGGGGAGACUGGAAUUCCUGGUGUAGCGGUGAAAUGCGCAGAUAUCAGGAGGAACACCGAUGGCGAAGGCAGGUCUCUGGGCCGAUACUGACGCUGAGGAGCGAAAGCGUGGGGAGCGGACAGG
rnacentral:rRNA from 1 species